UAAGGAAUAUUGCUCAAUGGGAGAAAUCCUGAAGCAGCGACGCCGCGUGGAGGAUGAAGGGUCUAUGACUUGUAAACUCCUGUAAAGAAGGAAAAAAUUCCCAUUAGAUGGGAGAUGAUGGUACUUCUGGAGUAAGCCCCGGCUAACUACGUGCCAGCAGCCGCGGUAAUACGUAGGGGGCAAGCGUUGUCCGGAUUUACUGGGUGUAAAGGGUGCUCAGGCGGAUUUGUAAGUCAGAGGUGAAAUCUUACAGCUUAACUGUGAAACUGCCUUUGAUACUGCAAGCCUAGAGUAUGGAAGAGAGUGAUGGAAUAUCUGGUGUAGCAGUGAAAUGCGUAGAUAUCAGAUAGAACACCAAUGGCGAAGGCAGUCACUUGGUCCAUUACUGACGCUAAAGCACGAAAGCGUGGGUAGCAAACA
rnacentral:rRNA from 1 species